AGUGAACGCUGGCGGCAGGCCUAAUACAUGCAAGUCGAACGGCAGCACAGCAGAGCUUGCUCUGUGGGUGGCGAGUGGCGGACGGGUGAGGAAUACAUGGGAAUCUGCCCAGUCGUGGGGGAUAACGUAGGGAAACUUACGCUAAUACCGCAUGCGCCCUUCGGGGGAAAGCCGGGGACCUUCGGGCCUGGCGCGAUUGGAUGAGCCCAUGUCGGAUUAGCUAGUUGGCGGGGUAAUGGCCCACCAAGGCGACGAUCCGUAGCUGGUCUGAGAGGAUGAUCAGCCACACUGGAACUGAGACACGGUCCAGACUCCUACGGGAGGCAGCAGUAGGGAAUAUUGGACAAUGGGCGCAAGCCUGAUCCAGCCAUGCCGCGUGAGUGAAGAAGGCCCUCGGGUUGUAAAGCUCUUUUGUCCGGAAAGAAAAGCGCCGGGUUAAUACCCUAAGUGUCCUGACGGUACCGGAAGAAUAAGCACCGGCUAACUUCGUGCCAGCAGCCGCGGUAA
rnacentral:rRNA from 1 species